rnacentral:lncRNA from 1 species
GCCUUCAACAAUGAGCAAAGCCCAUACCGCAUAGUCAGCUAUAAAAGGCCCCGAUAUGACAAUGUAAAACAAUUCAAAAGAGAAAACUAACGGCCUUAUUUGUAUAAAAUAUGAACGAAAAACAAAUAUGUAACACAUAAACAAACGACAACCACUGAAUUACAGGCUCCUAACUUGGGACAGGCACAUACAUAAAUAAUGUGGCG